UACCAGCACGUUAAGGUGGGCACUCUAAGGAGACUGCCGGUGACAAACCGGAGGAAGGUGGGGAUGACGUCAAGUCAUCAUGGCCCUUACGGCCUGGGCUACACACGUGCUACAAUGGUCGGUACAAAGGGUUGCCAAGCCGCGAGGUGGAGCUAAUCCCAUAAAACCGAUCGUAGUCCGGUUAGCAGUCUGCAACUCGACUGCGUGAAGUCGGAAUCGCUAGUAAUCGUGAAUCGGAGUGUCACGGUGAAUACGUUCCCGGGCCUUGUUCUCUCUCCCGUCACACCAUGGGAGUGGGUUGCUCCAUUAGUAGCUAGUCUAACC
rnacentral:rRNA from 1 species